rnacentral:rRNA from 1 species
CGGCCGCCGACGCCGCCUCGUCCGAGAGGUGAGGUUUUUUCAUUUUUUUCAUUUUGUUUCAUUUUCUUUUUGUUUCAUUUUUUAGCACUAAUGAGUGAAUGUCCUUUGCAGAUGGAGAUGAACAAUGAGGAGAUUGUCAUGUCUGAUUCGUCGGAUUGGUCGACAUCUGACGAUUCCGACAUUGAGGAGUUGUUGCAAGAUGACGACGUCGAGAUGAUGAGCCUCCUCAUCGACGUGCAAUCGUUUGAAAACCGCGUGAAGCUGAUGGAUCAGAGGAGAGGGUCGAAGAUGGGCCGAGUCACCAUCUACCGGAACCGCGCUCUCGGACACGAACAUUUGAUGGAAGACUACUUCUCCGAGGUACCUACAUACCCUCCUCGUCUCUUCCGCAGAAGGUACCGAAUGCGGCGUAGUUUGUUUGUGAAGAUUGUCACCGAUUGUGAGGCCGCCUCAUAUUACUUUAAACGUCGUAGAUCCGCCGCCGGUAUCAUGGGGUUUAGUGCAUAUCAAAAGAUAUCGGCGGCAAUGCGGGUACUCGCUUAUGGCAUACCCGCGGAUUAUACCGACGAGUAUCUUCGCAUUGGGCAAGAUACGACCACGGAGUCAGUCCGUAGGUUUGCCAAGUUGGUCAUCAAGUUGUACGGUGAGCAGUAUCUUCGGGCACCAAACGAGGAAGAUACAAAAAGAUUAAUGGAAAUGAAUGAAAAAAGGGGAUGGCCGGGGAUGCUAGGUAGUCUUGACUGCAUGCAUUGGAGGUGGAAA